AGCAGGAGUGGGGCCAUUAGAAGUUUCCCCGGUGCAAGUGGAUGUUGUAGCCGCAGCGGGGAUGUCAGUGGGGGGAUAUUUACGGCCUCUGGCCUCAGGUGGCCCCGCCUUCCUCUAUGGAAAUCAAAGUGUUCCAGGACUCACGGGGGAUUGGCUGGCCCGGACCUAUGCCCGCCCCAACUCCAUGCAGAUCAGAGUGUGCCAGACCACUCACACCAUUGGCUGCUGCAGGAGCCUUGAACACGACGGACCAAUGACACGGCUGCCUGCAUUUACCGGGAAAUAUAAAAGGCUGAGGAUCCUUCAUUCGUGGGGGACUUGUUGAUUUGAACAGACUGCACUGAAAAAAGUCUAACAUGCAGUCAUUCAUUCAAUCUAAUAAGUGCCAUUCAAAACAGAAUAAAAUCAUUGAUUUGAUUGUGAAACCCUUUCUUUUUGCAUUUUAAAAUACCACUUUUGAUUUGGAUGAAACUAAAUAUCUGUACAAAGGAUACAACGCAAAGUUUUUGAUUUCUCUCAAAACAUAUAUUUCUUUCCAUGUUGAACAGAUAAUAUCUUUAAUUUGAGUCAGUGAUUUGCACUUGAACACGCCCACCAGAAAUAGACCGGGACCCAUUUUUAUUCUGCAUGGCUGCUGGAAACAUCGUGUCACAUCUUUGAUUAAUUUCAUCUGAAAAUAAACAACCACAGAUCGCUCCAUCCAUUCCAUGGCUGAAGCAUACAUUUUCAUUUAAUCUGAACAGGAUGCUGAUGCUGACAUUAGGAGGGAGUGUAUACUUAAAUCUCUUAUUAUCUACCUUGGAGAACGUGUUGAGGACUUGAUAAAAGAAUACAUGAUAUCCCAGAAAGAUGAAGCUGAGGAAGAGCUGCAGAGUACCACCAUGGCACUCUUCGUCUUCAGGGACAACUCAAGCCUCCUACAUCAGCCUCGAGACAUCGGGAUAAUCAUUGAUGGUGUGGAAGUCCUGAAUGAGUUGCCUUCUGUGGCAGCUGGAGUGGCAAUGGUCUUUGGACUCUGUUAUGCUCUUAAUAUGGAAUAUCCACGAGGAUUCAGCUUCACCUUUGAGGCUCUUCAAAAGAUUAUGAUGGAGCUUGACUUUAACAAGAUGACCUCUAAGAUUUGCAAACUUAAUUGUGAACUUAACACUGCACAGUAGUGUGUUUGCAUGCAUGUGUGCAUGUGUAUGUGUGCUUGGUUAUUUUGCUUGGUUGGCCUGCAGUGGUAUUCUACAUUCAAAAGUUAUAAGAACACCCAUUUGAAAGGGAGAUUUAAGUUGAUUUCAUUGAUACAUGUGUACAUUUUUUUUUUUACAUUGUACAGGCACAGUGCACAUAUAAACAUUUUUGAGUACUUGCAAAUUGGUUUAAAAAGAGUUUUGGUUUUAUGCCAGUUUUAGACAGGUUGCAGGUUUUAUACCAGUUCUAAAAAGAUUGCAGGUUUUAUACUGGUUUUCAAAAGGUUGCAGGUUUUAUAAAACAAACAUUUCUCUAAUCAUUUCUGCCGUAGCACUAAAUCUUUAUAUUACUAAUCCUCUCUAUUGAUUAUAGUUAAAAUGGUUUGGAACAAUAAAUAAUUUUGAAAUAAUUGGUUGGCCAACUGUCUUGUUUUUUAUAGGAAAUGCAGAGCAUUUUUGAACUGAAAUAAAAUGAAAUGUAAAAAAUAUAGUUUGAAUAUAUGUAAAUCAAUUACCUGGCUUCAACACAAACAUAUUAGUUCAUGUUAAUUUGGUUCGAUGUGAAUACAUUAGGUUGGUUAAAUUUCAAUAUAUUAGCUUGGUUCAAUAAUUAAAAUAUGGUUCUAUGUAAAAAAAAAUCAAUUUGGAUCAAUGCAAAAUUUAAAGUUUCAGUCAAGUCUAGUAAUAUUGUUUAUAUCAACAUAAAAGUAUCAGGUCAUAUCAAGUGACUCAAUUUGGAUUCUAUGAAGUCAAAUAUUUUGGAUGUGACCAUUGGACAUCAAUUUUUUUAAUUUCAAUAGGGUUUUUCUUUUUACAGUGUGUGCAGAUUGUCCCUCCUGCCUUUGCCGUUGCCCUGCUGCCCUUUUGAGUCUUUGUUUUGGAGUAGCCGCUUGUGAGAUGUUUAGGUGAUUGGCAUUAGCUGAUUAGUGUUGUAUUUGUGUUAUUUGAGUACCUGAGCUGUUUGUUAUGUUCGUUUAAAGCACCCUACUGCCUAGUGAGUUUCACUAACGGUUUUCAGUUGUAUUAAUAAACCUUGUGUUUUUCUUUUUAUCUAACCCCCUGGUCUCUGGGCUCAUUUAUGUUAC